rnacentral:misc_RNA from 1 species
GAGAAAAACUUAACUCAUUCAAGGAUUACAACCUUGUAGCAGAAUGUCUGAAGAAUAGGUUCAUUAUGCUGGGAAGGUUUAAAAGCGUCCUCUAUAAUGCAAUUGGGAACCCGGAGGAGGAAGGAGGGAUCCCGUCCUCUCAAACCUACUCCCAACCUAGGCUCAAGUAUCCGUAUCAACGACCAGCAUUUCUCAAACUAGCAACAGCUGAUGAAAUACAGGUAACCGCUGAUCAUGCUGUUAGACCUAUAAUUGUCCCACGAGAUGUCAACGCCCUGCCCUGGAAUGCGGGAUACGCAGAAACUAUAAAUGCGGGGAAAUCCCGCCAGAACGAGGACCAGGCCUGCGCACACGAAGGACGAAUCAAUGUUAUCGUCGGUGGACGAAUGACGCACAUACCUUACACAUUAUUCGCAGUUUUCGACGGCCAUGCGGGUGCUGGAUGUGCCGUGGCCGCCAGUAACGAUCUUUGGCAGAUUAUUCACGCUAAACUAGAAAAUGUUGGUCCUCAGUUGUUAAACGAAGGUAAGGACACGUAUGAUACAAUAUGGCCGACCAAUAGACCCAUCUCUACAGAGAGUUUGGUGAUCGGGGCUCUAGAGACAGCAUUCUGGGAAGCAGAUCAACUGAUCGGAGAGGAGAAGAAGAUGUAUCAUAUGCUGGGAGGAUGCACCGUACUCGUCGCACUUUUCAUAUUAGGAAAGCUGUAUGUCGCAAAUGCUGGAGAUUCAAGAUCUGUUCUAUGUCGACUCUCCAAAGCCUAUCCAAUGUCUUACGACUUUACUCCGGUCAGUGAGAGACAACGUCUACAGACUGUCGGGAGAUUGCAACCACAUCUUUUAGGAGACGAAUACACCUGCUUGGAGUUCUGUAGGAAACCUACCCGGAGAGAUAUAGGUUCAAGAAUCAUGUACAGAGAUGCUCACAUGACCGGCUGGGCGUACAAGAUCGUACAGGAGUCGGACAUGAAGUUUCCGAUGGUUUACGGAGAAGGAAAACGAUCUCGGCUGCUUGCAACCAUAGGAGUGACACGAGGGUUCGGAGAUCACGAUCUCCGUGCUCAAUCUCAGAACGGGACGAUCUACAUCAAACCUUUUCUGUCUCCGCAACCAGAGGUCCGCGUCCUGGAUAUAGAGAAUGAGACGGUAACUGCUGAUGAUAUCCUUGUUCUUGGAACAGACGGGUUGUGGGAUGUUGUGAGUAACGAGGAUGUUGCAACUAUUGUCCAGCGCGGACUAUCUGCCUGGGAUAAUGAGAGCAGGGCAGGGAAGUAUCGAUAUAUAACUCUAGCACAGGACCUUGUCAUGUCUGCACGGGGGAAGAUGAAGGAGAGAAAUUGGAAAAGAUCGAACGGAACUGCUGCGACUAUUGACGAUAUUUCCGUCUUUGUUAUUCCUAUUCUACCCUACAAAGAGGAAUAUAAUAAACUAAAGUCCGGAGAAUCCAGAACUUGUGAAAAUGGAACGGAUGCAAUGGACGAAGAGAAACCUGAACCUAUGGAGUCUAGUCCUGUGCGCCUUAAUCCUAGUUUAGAUCCCUUAUCUGUAAACGCAACCCUGGAUCCUUCAAGUUCCAAUACUAGUUCUGAUAAUAUUAAUCCAAAUCCUACGGUUGUAUCUAAAGCUAAAUUAUCACCUAGACCUAAAACUACGCAUAAAUCCCAGGAUGGAAAUGAGCUAAGCUCCGCAGCUAUUGAACCUGAUCCUGGAUUCAGUCCAGAGAAAGACUGCAUUGAACCCGAACCCAACUGUGAUAAAGUAAACGUACAUUCCAAUCCUGAUCACACCCAAUCCAUCCCCGCAGCAAUUAAAUCCAAAACUGAAAUAUUAGAACUCAAGGUCGACGAUGACGAAGACCAAAAGAAUACUGAUGAAACUGACGAGGAUGAAAAUUAAGAGAUUUGAAUAUCAAUGUAAUUACGAGAUAGAUAAGCGUAGAUGAUUACAAACUUGUAUACUUUAAACGCUAGCAUGUAAUAUUAUGUUUAGUUUAGUGCAUAUCUUAAGUUUAGAAAGCGUUUUCUCAAAUUUGUCCCUAGAAAGUACAUGCGUACACUGUACCAGCUGUACAGCACUUAAUCACCCGUCAUGGCGAAUUGGUACUUCGUCAGAACUUUUCUUGGUUCAUUUUAGUUUCAUCUCUGUUAUCUUUGUGAUUUAAUAUUUACUUAUAAUUUUGUUAUAGAUCUAUGGUACAAUGGUAGUGUCUAUUUUAAAGUGGUGUUUGAAAUAUCAAUCUCGUUUCAAAAAUGUAAAAAAUAGUGAAAGCAAUGAUGUUAAACUUAUUAACGCGGCGGUGUUCUGAAAAAGUCCCAGUAAAUUUAUUAAUUUAUAAUUGUAAAAUAGAUACUUAUGUUUUAUUGCAUUUAUUCAUUGUUUAGUCCUAGUUCUUCUUUAUGUUGGGGAAAACGGAGUAUUUAUGUUUUGUUGCAUUUCUUAAUUUUAUCAAUAUAUUUCAGA